GGUGGCCCCAGGCCAUCCCUGGCUUGCAGAUACGUGGCUCCCAUCUCUGCCUCGGUCUUCACAUGGGGCCUCCCGUCUAUGUCUCUCUGUGUGUCCCGUCCUCUUUUUACAGGGACACCAGUCAUUGGAUAAGGGCUAAUGAUCCUAAUCCAGUGUGAGCUCAUCUUAAUUAAUUACAUCUGCAAAUGCCCCAUCUCCAGUUGCAGAGUCAAACCCAUCCUGGUAUCAACCUGCUUUUAGUACUUCCAGAUUCGUAAGUCAAGAAAUCCUCCUUCCUGCUUGUACCAGUUGGCAGUGGGUUUUCUGGCAUUUGUACCUGCUGCUCUAGGCCCUACUCCAGUACCCACAAAGUCCAGAAGAGGAGUGAGAUGAUUUUUGUUCCCACACACUGAGUGAGAGCUCCAAGGCUGAUUUUGACCGGAUGUUCUCAAUCCAGGGUAAAGUCCUAUGCCUUCCCAAGGUCAUACACUUCAAACUUCCUGCAUCUGGUGAUUGAACCAGGCUAGAGAGGUCUGGCUAUGGUGCACUCUGACAGGCCGUCCUCUCUCCAGGGUCCCUCCAGGUCAGCCGAAGCUUUGUUGGGCCUGUGGUUACAGCUCCUCUUUUCCUUCAGCUUGGCCCUGCUUUCUCCUCCUCCUUUUCACAGCUGUUGCUUCCUAAUGAGUCCCUUGUUCCCCAGACUCCAUAUUAGCACCUGCAUCCAGAGA